AUUGAACGCUGGCGGCAUGCCUUACACAUGCAAGUCGAACGGCAGCACGGGAGCAAUCCUGGUGGCGAGUGGCGAACGGGUGAGUAAUAUAUCGGAACGUGCCCAGUAGUGGGGGGAUAGCCCGGCGAAAGCCGGAUUAAUACCGCAUACGACCUGUGGGUGAAAGCGGGGGAUCGCAAGACCUCGCGCUAUUGGAGCGGCCGAUAUCAGAUUAGCUUGUUGGUGGGGUAAAAAGCCCACCAAGGCGACGAUCUGUAGCUGGUCUGAGAGGACGACCAGCCACACUGGGACUGAGACACGGCCCAGACUCCUACGGAGGCAGGCAGUGGGGAAUUUUGGACAAUGGGCGCAAGGCCUGAUCCAGCCAUGCCGCGUGUGGGAAGGAAGGACCU
rnacentral:rRNA from 1 species